UACGUAUGGUGCAAGCGUUAUCCGGAUUUACUGGGUGUAAAGGGAGCGCAGGCGGCACGGCAAGCCUGAUGUGAAAGCCCGCGGCCCAACCGCGGGACUGCAUUGGGAACUACCGGGCUGGAGUGCCGGAGAGGUAGGCGGAAUUCCUAGUGUAGCGGUGAAAUGCGUAGAUAUUAGGAGGAACACCAGUGGCGAAGGCGACCUACUGGACGGUGACUGACGCUGAGGCUCGAAAGCGUGGGGAGCAAACAGG
rnacentral:rRNA from 1 species